GAUGAACGCUAGCUACAGGCUUAACACAUGCAAGUCGAGGGGCAGCUAUUUUCUUAGCUUGACUAAGGAAGAUGGCGACCGGCGCACGGGUGAGUAACGCGUAUCCAACCUUCCCAUGUCCACGGGAUAGCCCGUCGAAAGGCGGAUUAAUACCGUAUGAGGUCACAUGCGGGCAUCUAAGUGUGACGAAAGGUUUAGCGGACAUGGAUGGGGAUGCGUCCGAUUAGCUUGUUGGCGGGGUAACGGCCCACCAAGGCGACGAUCGGUAGGGGUUCUGAGAGGAAGGUCCCCCACAUUGGAACUGAGACACGGUCCAAACUCCUACGGGAGGCAGCAGUGAGGAAUAUUGGUCAAUGGACGAGAGUCUGAACCAGCCAAGUAGCGUGCAGGAUGACGGCCCUAUGGGUUGUAAACUGCUUUUAUAAGGGAAUAAAGUGAGCCUCGUGAGGCUUUUUGCAUGUACCUUAUGAAUAAGGACCGGCUAAUUCCGUG
rnacentral:rRNA from 1 species